rnacentral:ncRNA from 1 species
GGGUGAUCUAUCCAUGACCAGGAUGAAGCUUGGACGAAACUAAGCAGAGGUCCGAACCGAUUGAUGUUGAAGAAUCAGCGGAUGAGUUGUGGUUAGGGGUGAAAUGCCACUCGAACCC